UACGAAGGGGGCUAGCGUUGUUCGGAAUUACUGGGCGUAAAGCGCACGUAGGCGGGUUGUUAAGUCAGGGGUGAAAUCCUGGAGCUCAACUCCAGAACUGCCUUUGAUACUGGCAACCUAGAGACUGGAAGAGGUUAGUGGAAUUCCCAGUGUAGAGGUGAAAUUCGUAGAUAUUGGGAAGAACACCAGUGGCGAAGGCGGCUAACUGGUCCAGCACUGACGCUGAGGUGCGAAAGCGUGGGGGAGCAAAACAGG
rnacentral:rRNA from 1 species